CUUGCUCUUUUCAGAAUUGAGUGGCAAACGGGUGAGUAACACGUAAACAACCUGCCUUCAGGAUGGGGACAACAGACGGAAACGACUGCUAAUACCGCAUGAAGCAUAGGGGUCGCAUGAUUCUUAUGCCAAAGAUUUAUCGCUUCAAGAUGGCCUCGCGUCUGAUUAGCUAGUUGGUGAGGUAACGGCCCACCAAGGCGACGAUCAGUAGCCGGACUGAGAGGUUGAACGGCCACAUUGGGACUGAGAUACGGCCCAGACUCC
rnacentral:rRNA from 1 species